rnacentral:pre_miRNA from 1 species
AAUAACUUCAUUUUUCAGUUUUUUGACACAAUGUUUUGACUCUUCGUCUUAUUUGAAAUUUUUUUUACGAUUAAUAUUUUUAUUGUUACUAGAUGAUAAAAUAUAAAUAGUGUUUUAUGCGUGAAUAAUUUUUUAAAAUUUUUGUACAAAUUUUUUAAAUAAUACGAAUGAUCAAACGUUGGACACGAAAAA